AUUGAACGCUGGCGGCAUGCCUUACACAUGCAAGUCGAACGGCAGCACGGGUGCUUGCACCUGGUGGCGAGUGGCGAACGGGUGAGUAAUACAUCGGAACAUGUCCUGUAGUGGGGGAUAGCCCGGCGAAAGCCGGAUUAAUACCGCAUACGAUCCACGGAUGAAAGCGGGGGACCUUCGGGCCUCGCGCUUUAGGGUUGGCCGAUGGCUGAUUAGCUAGUUGGUGGGGUAAAGGCCUACCAAGGCGACGAUCAGUAGCUGGUCUGAGAGGACGACCAGCCACACUGGGACUGAGACACGGCCCAGACUCCUACGGGAGGCAGCAGUGGGGAAUUUUGGACAAUGGGCGAAAGCCUGAUCCAGCAAUGCCGCGUGUGUGAAGAAGGCCUUCGGGUUGUAAAGCACUUUUGUCCGGAAAGAAAUCCUUGACUCUAAUACAGUCGGGGGAUGACGGUACCGGAAGAAUAAGCACCGGCUAACUACGU
rnacentral:rRNA from 1 species